rnacentral:rRNA from 1 species
UGACAGCCCCGUACACAAAAAUACACAUAUUGUGAGCUCGAUGAGUAGGGCGGGACACGUGGUAUCCUGUCUGAAUAUGGGGGGACCAUCCUCCAAGGCUAAAUACUCCUGACUGACCGAUAGUGAACCAGUACCGUGAGGGAAAGGCGAAAAGAACCCCGGCGAGGGGAGUGAAAAAGAACCUGAAACCGUGUACGUACAAGCAGUGGGAGCACGCUUAGGCGUGUGACUGCGUACCUUUUGUAUAAUGGGUCAGCGACUUAUAUUCUGUAGCAAGGUUAACCGAAUAGGGGAGCCGAAGGGAAACCGAGUCUUAACUGGGCGUUAAGUUGCAGGGUAUAGACCCGAAACCCGGUGAUCUAGCCAUGGGCAGGUUGAAGGUUGGGUAACACUAACUGGAGGACCGAACCGACUAAUGUUGAAAAAUUAGCGGAUGACUUGUGGCUGGGGGUGAAAGGCCAAUCAAACCGGGAGAUAGCUGGUUCUCCCCGAAAGCUAUUUAGGUAGCGCCUCGUGAAUUCAUCUCCGGGGGUAGAGCACUGUUUCGGCAAGGGGGUCAUCCCGACUUACCAACCCGAUGCAAACUGCGAAUACCGGAGAAUGUUAUCACGGGAGACACACGGCGGGUGCUAACGUCCGUCGUGAAGAGGGAAACAACCCAGACCGCCAGCUAAGGUCCCAAAGUCAUGGUUAAGUGGGAAACGAUGUGGGAAGGCCCAGACAGCCAGGAUGUUGGCUUAGAAGCAGCCAUCAUUUAAAGAAAGCGUAAUAGCUCACUGGUCGAGUCGGCCUGCGCGGAAGAUGUAACGGGGCUAAACCAU